rnacentral:rRNA from 1 species
AUCUGCCCUCAGGACGGGGACAACAGCUGGAAACGGCUGCUAAUCCCCGAUGAGCCNAAGGGUGAAAAGAAAUUCGCUUGAGGAGGAGCUCGCGUCCGAUUAGCUAGUUGGUNNGGUAAAGGCUNACCAAGGCGACGAUCGGUAGCCGGUCUGAGAGGACGAUCGGCCACACUGGGACUGAGACACGGCCCAGACUCCUACGGGAGGCAGCAGUGGGGAAUUUUCCGCAAUGGGCGAAAGCCUGACGGAGCAAGACCGCGUGUGGGAGGAAGGCCUUCUGGGUCGUAAACCACUUUUCUCAGGGAAGAAGAACUGACGGUACCUGAGGAAUCAGCCUCGGCUAACUCCGUGCCAGCAGCCGCGGUAAUACGGAGGAGGCAAGCGUUAUCCGGAAUUAUUGGGCGUAAAGCGUCCGCAGGUGGCUCAUCAAGUCUGCUGUCAAAGACAGUGGCUCAACCACUGAGAGGCAGUGGAAACUGGAGAGCUAGAGAACGGUAGGGGUAGAGGGAAUUCCCAGUGUAGCGGUGAAAUGCGUAGAGAUUGGGAAGAACACCGGUGGCGAAAGCGCUCUACUGGGCCGUAUCUGACACUCAGGGACGAAAGCUAGGGUAGCGAAUG